AGUUUGUACUAAAUCAAAAUUUAAAAAUAAUCAUCAAAAAAAAAGAACAGUAAGAUUCUGUGUUGUCUUUAUAUUUAGUCAAUUGUUUGAUGGAAAAGUAAGAUCUACUAUGGAAUACUGCUUACAACAACCCGCCUGUUCCCUACCAAUGCUCCUAUUGAAGAUACCUUUCAUGCAUCAUUUCCAGGACAAUUCAUAGAAUGGAAGAUUAACUCAGAGAAGAGAUUCUUGUCCUGGUCUCCUCCAGCUGCAUCAUUCAUAGGAAAAAAGAAAAACCCAAGCCAAAAGCAAAACAAAACCCUUUGGGCAAAUAUGAAAAGUCAAGCAAAAUAAAUUCUCACAUUGGUCAUGUUCAAAAAGGUAUGUCUCAUUCAGCAUCUUGAAUCCUUUACUAUUGUGUCAUGAGGGUUCAUUAUUGGUCCUCUGGAAUAAUUAUUAUAAUAAUAAAACUAACUAACCUAGAGGGGGCUUUUAGGUU
rnacentral:lncRNA from 1 species